rnacentral:misc_RNA from 1 species
CAGUGCACGCUUUUAUUUUCGAGGAUGUCUGCAACCCAUCUAUAACCGCGCGCCUCCGCGCACCGCGUUCUUCCUCCCCCGAAUGAUGUCCAGGUCGAACUCGGCGUGUCCCGCGACCGCCGCGGAAUGUGUCAUCCAGAUCCGUCGGGGCUCCUCCGCCGCGCAGGCUGCGCCGCAGCCUGCGACUCAGCGGCCAGAGACAAGGUACGACGGGCUCGCACGGGACGCCGUGCCUCGCCGACGAUGCCGCCGGUUCCCUGAGCCAAGAGUCUCAAGGUUCGUCGGCCACCGCCGUGCCGGAGCGGAGAGUCGCGCUGACCGAGCUGCCGUUGGAAGUGCUCUUCCACAUCUUCCUGCAUUGCGAUGUGGACUCUCUCGGUGAGCUGAGCAUAUGCUCUUUGCUGCUGCGGGACCAAGUGGUGGGUUACCUCGGCUGGGGUCCCGCUAUCAAAACGCUCAGCUUCCAACACAUGAACCAGAAAGACGCUGUCAAGCACUGCAGAAACCUUGGAGUACUGAUGAAGAGGGUCACCUGCCUUUUCCCGACCAAGGAACGGCUCAAGAUAAUGCUGCGGUUCAUCGAAAAGUUCGUGAGCCGGCCGACGCUCGUGCGUAGCCACCUGCCCCGCGACCUGGAAGCCGCGGGUCGUCAGUGGCACCAGUACGGCGCCUUCCUGAUGGCUGCCGUGGUCGGCUGGGUGGACAGCGAGUGCCAGCUGGUGCACGAGGUGCUCCUGGGGCUCUCCUCCGCGCAGCGAUUCACCUCCAGGGUGCUCGGUGCGAGGCCCGGGGUGCUGCGUCGCGACGAGCUGGCGCUGCGCCACUUCCUGCGCUGCCUGUUCCUGUCCGAGGUGAGCCCCGAGGACAGUGGUGCCUGGCUGCACAGGCUGCUGCAGCCCUGGCCGCUGGUGUUCCGCGCCAAACUGCUCUUCAUCAUCUACGGGCCCUGCUGUCACCACGAGCUCCUGUGGGUGCUGCCGUCGCUGCCACAGACGGCGAUGGGGUCUCCACUGCUGCGUGCCUCGCUCGUGAACCUGGGAACGGCGCUGGCCUGCCUGCACGAGGAGGCAGGGUGGUCCUCGGACGAAACCAUCACAGUGAUCGAGGAGCUCUUCGUGAUGGCGCGGGAGUGGCUUUCGGUGAACCGCGCCUCGCUGCUGGUGCAUUGCGGAGAAGACAUCUGCGUCCUGCUGCUCUCUUCUAAGCUCGUCAAUGGACGGGAGUCCUGAAGUGGCCAACAUCCUGUACAACUUGAUUUUGGUGCAGCGUCAGGCGUCACGCUCGUCGACCUUCGUUAUCGACGUGGUGAGAGCGCUCAGCGAUGCCGUGGGACACACUCGCUUCUUGAGGGAGAUGCCCCUCCACAGCGACACGCUCGUUCAUGAUGCGUUGAGAUAUUACUCGAGAGGCGACGAAACAGGCUACGAUCAAGUCUGCCACUCGCUGCUGUCUUUCGCCUCCUCGCUGCUUCAGCUGUCCUGCAUGGAGGGAGUGCACUACGGACGCCUUUGCCGCGAAGGCUGAGGGAUGACCAGGACCUGUCGCACCUGACCUAAGAGGAUAUGCAAGCAUCGCCGUUGUUGUUGUUACUUCCACGCCGAGGCGGUGUUCUGGAACCGUAACUUUGUGGGACGACAGCUUGUAAAAACUCCGUUUGCCAAAAAGUGCGCCGGUACAGCUGCAGUGCUGCUGCCAUGCGCGACAGCGUUUGGCAGAAAGUGCCAUUAUUAUCUUGAUGACCAGACUCUUGCUGGAACAUACGGCAAGCAUAUGCCGUGUGUCGCUUUAACAGUUGUAACGCGUUACGUUUAAGUACGGCUUUAUAUAGCCGGCCGUCAACGG